rnacentral:rRNA from 1 species
UACGGAGGGUGCAAGCAUUAAUCGGAUUUAUUGGGCGUAAAGGGCGCGUAGGCGGAGAUAAAAGUCAGAUGUGAAAUCCCGAGGCUCAACCUCGGAACUGCAUUUGAAACUUUAUCCCUAGAGGGUAGGCGGAGAAAACGGAAUUCCACAAGUAGCGGUGAAAUGCGUAGAUAUGUGGAAGAACACCGGUGGCGAAGGCGGUUUUCUAGCUUAUUCCUGACGCUAAAGCGCGAAAGCAAGGGGAUCAAAC